AUACUUACCUGGCAGGGGUGGGUUGGAUACUAUAAUCAAGAAGGUGCUAUCCCUAGGGUGAGGCUCUUCCAUUGCAUACUUUGAUUGUGUUGACCCCUGUCAUUUCCCCAAAUGUGGGAAACUCAACUGCAUAAUUUAUGGCAGUGAGGGACCAUGUUUGCACAGUCUCCUG